UGGGGAAUAUUGCACAAUGGAGGGAACUCUGAUGCAGCGACGCCGCGUGAACGAAGAAGGCUUUCGAGUCGUAAAGUUCUUUUAUAUGGGAAGAUAAUGACGGUACCAUAAGAAAAAGCCCCGGCUAACUACGUGCCAGCAGCCGCGGUAAUACGUAGGGGGCUAGCGUUGUCCGGAAUCACUGGGCGUAAAGGGUUCGCAGGCGGAAAUGCAAGUCAGGAGUAAAAGGCAGUAGCUUAACUACUGUAAGCAUUUGAAACUGCAUAUCUUGAGAAGAGUAGAGGUAAGUGGAAUUUUUAGUGUAGCGGUGAAAUGCGUAGAUAUUAAAAAGAAUACCGGUGGCGAAGGCGACUUACUGGGCUCAUUCUGACGCUGAGGAACGAAAGCGUGGGUAGCAAACAGG
rnacentral:rRNA from 3 species